GUCCCAGUUCGGACUGUAGUCUGCAACCCGACUACACGAAGCCGGAAUCGCUAGUAAUCGCGGAUCAGAAUGCCGCGGUGAAUACGUUCCCGGGUCUUGUACACACCGCCCGUCACACCAUGGGAGUCGGAAAUGCCCGAAGUCAGUGACCCAACCGGAAGGAAGGAGCUGCCGGAGGUGGAGCCGGUAACUGGGGUGAAGUCGUAACAAGGUAAC
rnacentral:rRNA from 1 species